rnacentral:rRNA from 1 species
AGUCGAGGGGUAGCAGGGUAGCAAUACCGCUGACGACCGGCGCACGGGUGAGUAACACGUAUCCAACCUUCCCAUAACUCGGGGAUAGCCUUUCGAAAGAAAGAUUAAUACCCGAUAGUACUUUUUCAAGGCAUCUUGAGAAAGUUAAAGAUUUAUUGGUUAUGGAUGGGGAUGCGUUCCAUUAGAUAGUUGGUGAAGUAACGGCUCACCAAGUCUUCGAUGGAUAGGGGUUCUGAGAGGAAGGUCCCCCACAUUGGUACUGAGACACGGACCAAACUCCUACGGGAGGCAGCAGUGAGGAAUAUUGGUCAAUGGGCGAGAGCCUGAACCAGCCAAGUAGCGUGAAGGAUGACGG